rnacentral:lncRNA from 1 species
GCUAUCCUCUCACUUCCUGCUAAAUCAAUUAGCCACAGUUUGCUUCUUGUGCAUUCCCCAUUUAGCAAAUUCCCCCCCUUUACCAUUCAUUACACAAAGUAUGCUACACACACACACACAUAAAAGAUGUCUCUGAUUAGUAAUUGAGGACAUAAUAUGUAAACAAAUGAAAACCUUCCAUAAAUUAUGAUGCACAAACCAAUGUGAUCGGCUGCUGUGCUCAUUUGCAUUGGUGGAUCCAACUGCCCUCGCGUUGCUACCAGUUUGUAAGGUUUCCCAAACCUCGGUCAUAUUAUUCACGUGGGCCUCAACUAGUCCAGGAUUGCUACCAGUUUGUAAGGCUUCCCAAACCUCAGUCAUAUUAUUCACGUGGGCCUCAACUAGUCCUGGAACAUGAUGCAUUCCUUCUCCAACUUGCUUUAUUUCAAGC